UGACUGCAGUAAGAGGGGGACUAUCUGUUUUCCUGAUAGAUACGAUUAAAAUUCGGGAAGGAAAAUAAAUGUGUGGUUCGCAUUCCCGCUAGGCUAUCAAAGGGGAAUGUAGCACAUUGCGGUUCUCAUGGGCACAUAUCCAACCUUUUCCUGACAUAUUGGAUGAACAAGAAGCACAGAAUACAUUAAACCUCAUCACUGUCUUUCGUGAAAUAUAAAGUGACGGAUGAUGUCGGUCUAUAUUGACAACUAUGCGUUUUAUAGCGCAUGCACCAUAUUCUUCACGAAGUCAUCCACUGUUCCGCAUUUCGAAUAUGUUACUUUAUGUAUUCCUACGUGAUUUAUUAGACGAAAGACUAAUGUCCACGAGCCGUCAGCGCAUCACAGCUCCGUUGGCACGAGGGCAAGUCUCCAUUUCUCUUCAAAACCUUCGAUCGAGUGAAAGUGUUUUUUCAAGGAAAGAGAUCGUUGAAAGUGCCUGUCUAAGCGGCUAGAAGAGAAGAGAAGUGAUUUGUCUGCAGAACUCUCGGCGCUUCACGUUCUCAAGAUGAGUGAGGUAAGUAAUUCAGCUCAACUGUGCUCAGUUUAACAGUUCAAGCUGCAGUUGUUGUUAGGCUAUACUAACGGUGUGGUUAUGAUUCUUCGGCGGUUAUUCUACUGAUCAUAGGCUAUAGAUGCUUUGGGAAUUCACUAUAUAACACCCCAUUCGAUUAUGUUAUACGCAUAAUUCAGUAAGUCCAGUAGUUAUGCUACUACAUGGACAUUAUGGAACGUUUUUGUUUAACAUCAACAAGUGAACAUAUACAUUGUAUUUGAUUUUACCCUGCCCACACAACUAAUUGUCUAGAUGAGUAUCUUUGCGAUGAUACCACCACAGCUCACCGCACCCCCGCCCCCCAAUCCCCGCAACCCAUCCAAGGUGCGGUAAAAAAAU